UACGUAGGGGGCGAGCGUUGUCCGGAUUUAUUGGGCGUAAAGAGCGUGUAGGCGGCUUGGUAGGUCUCGCGUCAAAAGCUGCGGCUCAACCGCAGUCCGCGCGGGAAACCACCUCGCUAGAGUCCGGAAGAGGAGAGGGGAAUUCCAGGUGUAGCGGUGAAAUGCGCAGAUAUCUGGAAGAACACCAGUGGCGAAGGCGCCUCUCUGGGACGGUACUGACGCUGAGACGCGAAAGCGUGGGGAGCGAACAGG
rnacentral:rRNA from 1 species